rnacentral:sRNA from 1 species
UACAAAUAUUUAACCCCAUCCACAGGCUCACAGGUUAACCCUUGACCCCAAGCUGGCGGUGCUGCUUUGGGAGGUGGUGGAAGCUGUAGGAGGCAGGGCCUCAGUUGAGGAAGUGGGUCAGCAUGGCUCUGCAUUCUCAAGACACAACAAUCCAGAGGCAGUGACAUGAAUGCUUGCUCCGUGGACAGGUGGAAAAAUGACUGGGGAUAAAGGAUGGAUGAGAGCAGGACCUGCUGUCUCACAGCAGCGCCACACAGAACCCCACCUGCUGUGGAAUGCACACGAGCCAUUUUAGAGCAUGGGGGAAAUGUGGUAAAAUCCUUUAAAAUCUUCCUGACGAGUAAAUUCCUGGAAAGCAAUUAAUGUGGAAGGCUUUCAGGGACCAGAGGGAGUGGCAGAUAGCUUGAAUCCUGUUUCCUGAGUGGUCAGCCACGGACAUCACUCCAAACCAGGUAGCAAAGAGUGUGCUUUUUACAUCUCUGUUCUAGGAAGAACAUUUGCACAACUUCUAGCAACAUUCUUGGGUCAGUGGCCAUGACCCUGAGGCAAUGCUUAGCGCUACAGUGAUCGUUUGACUCCACACGGUACUACAAAAAGUGAAGCAGUGAAAGCCCUGGGCCACACCAACAAGCACGUGACAAGAGAGACGCUUGCUCAUACGACAGAGGCCUGCAUCCCUUAGGCAGAGUACUGACCAUGAUUGGAUGCGAAUGGAAGAAUGUCAACUAAGGAUUGUGUCUAUAUAGAAAAUCAUUAGCCAAACACCACAGGGCUAAUUAAUGUCAUUUGAAAUACUUUCUGUGUAUGUUGAAUAGAGUGCCGCCAUUAUCAUCUGGCCAAACGAAAUGCCUGCCCAUAAACAACAUGGAGCUAUUUAACAGGAUAGCUAAUUACAUCUCGUCUCACAGCCCCAACUGAUCCUAAGCAACAACUCCCUAAGCUGUGUUGUAGUGCAAGGUAGCCUAAGGCUCUGGGGCAGUUACUGAAUCAUGAGAUUUUACUGUUAGAACUUGUUCGGUGUGUUUAAAAACCACCAAAAUAUUGAAUGGAGUAAAGUUACUAGGGAGACCGCAGCUUGGAAAGAGGCAGAGGAGAUCAAGAUAGAGAGGGACACUUCAAAAGCCACGCUCGGGCUCACAGGCACCUGGCACGAAGCUAAGAAUGCUGGGGGAAUGGGAGGGAAAGUACCAAGCCCUGUGCUUUGCUCCAGGUCACCUGGUUCUAUGCGGCACCCUUGUGGGUGGCCUGUGGCAUCUAUGGCUGGAGGCAGCUGCAUGUGUUUCCAUGGUCUUCAGGUGGCAGGUUCUCUUUUUACCAAGCACUUUGUAUAAACUGUUCCCUUCAGCCUUCCUUCUUCACAUACAUUCUAUAGGAGGUUUAUUUUGGGCCCAAGGCGUGCUUCUCUCUGCAUUUGAUCUCAAAGCAAGCUCGUUGAAAAGAGGACCAGAGACCUAGACAAACCUUAUGGACUUGUGUCAUCCUUCUAUGUAUGCAAGAGACACAUUCCAGGUCCCCCCAUAGGCACCCAAGUUCUCACAUGCUCCGCUGUGGCAUUGCCAUAGAUCUGUACACAUCCCAGUGUGUGUAUUUUGAAUUGUCUCUAGACAAGUUUUGAUGAUAUUGCUGUGUCCAUGCCAGGGAGACAUUUGUUAAUGCUGCAUUGUGUUGGGGAUAAAGACAAGGGGAAAGCCACUCAUGCUCUGUGCAGAGGCAUUUUCAGUAAUCCCCCACCAUGGGGGAGGGAGGUCAGUUAAACCCUAGUGUCCAGGUUGGCUUUUUACUGCUGUGAUAAACACCAUGACCAAAAGCAAAUUGGGGAGAAAAGACUUCAUCUUAUGGCUUAUCGUGCAUCAUCCAGCAAGGCCAGGGCAGGAACUUGAGACAGGGACCUGGAAGGACGUACGAACUAAAGCAGAGACCAUAGAGGAAUGCUACUUACUCUCUUGCCUCCACUGCUUGUUCAUACAGCUCAGGACCACCUCCCACAACGAACUCCAUCCCCCAACCCACGUCCACCUUUAAUCAAGAGUCUUUCCUACAAACCAAUCUAAUGGAGGUAGUUUCUCAGCUGAGUGCUACUCCUCUACUAGUUUGUGUCAGGUUGACAAAUACUAACUAGCACCCUGGAUACAGCAGAUGUCAUGGAUACAAAGGGCUGGCUGCAGUGAUGGGACACUGGCCACCUUACUACCUUACUUCCUACCUACGAUGUGUCAAAGUCCAUCUCACUUUAAACCUAAAGGAGAAAAUAAUUUUGAAUAUUUUUCUUGAUUUUUUUCCCCAAAUGGGAUAUGGGAAAAAAGUACAACAUUACUGGGUCAUUAUUGUUCGUUUUCAGAACAAUGACAGAAUCUGAAAUCAUAUGGGAAAUGGACUCUGGGUUGGAACCCAGAACCUUGUCCCUCCCACUUAGGCAUGUGCUCUUACACUGAGCUACACCCUUGGCCUCAUACCUUCAUUUCUAAAAAUAAUGCCAAUGUGUAAUUGUGAGGAUUAAAGUAACAUGGAGACAAAUGAGUACACACUUCAUGUGCAUCAAAGCGGAGUCAUGCUAGGAAUUGCCUGGAGUGGACAUCUGUCUUAGGAGUUGCCAGGGAUGCUCAUAAUGACUCACAAAGUCUUCAGUGUGCUCCUUGACAUACAGUUUGUGUCACUGGUAUGGUCUUGGCCAGCUGCUCUCCAAUGUUUCCUCUAACUGGCUGCUCUCUGGACAUACCAUGAACCCCUCUGAGAACAAGCUUUUGCAGUGUAUCAGGGCCAACACCACUUGGCUUUUGAGAUGCUAUCUAUGUUUUCCAGCUACAGUGGUUUGUGACAUGCCUGGGCCUGUCCCAGUCUAUCCUAUGGAGACUGUUUACCUGCCUUUUUAAUGCUACAUACAUAUUCAGGUAAGCAGCCUGACGAUGAAUGAUGGCUGUAAGAAGCCAUUUCCAACAGUAGGUUGGGGUCUUGGUGGAUCUCAUGAUGCUCUUCUGUGGGGCUUCUGUAGACUUCAAGGACCAGUAAGCAGUUUUCACCCACAUGGGGGUAUGAGAUGUGAGAGGUGUUUUCUUGCUUUGUUCUCUUACAACUUUUCAAAUUAUAUGAAUGUAAUAAAAAGCAUACAUUAUUAAAAAUUUUAACUAGGUAUUUCACAUAUGGAGCUGUGAAGAAUUUCUUUUGGUGCCAAAAUGUCAUAAGGAAAAAAAGUAUGAGCUUUGUGAUUUGUGGACCUGCUAUGUAGGCAAUCUUUUUCAAAGUUGUAUUUUUCAAGAGGUGUUGGAACAUUUUUCUCCAUAAGGAUCACAGGUGGGAAACUCUUCAUAUACUGCUUCUACAAGUUGGAAAUUUUCCUUGUUUGAGGAUAAUGCAGAAAACAUUCAGUCCUCCAUGUUUGGUUGCUUUAUUUCUUCCUUUAGCCACAUUGCAGAGAACUUUCUAGAAAAGAAUUAAGAAUAUGCACCAAGAAACUCAUCACCACAACUGAGCACACAAUGAUUGCCACAUGAGACUCAGUCUUUAAAUGGGAUCCUUCUGAAGAGCAGAUUUCUUUGGGAGACAGGAUGAGGUAAAUAUGUAGAGACUAAUAUGACACAUGACUGUUUUGCAGGAUGACGCAACCAUGCAGUUGUUUUGUGAUUACCAAGCUCAUGAAGAAUGAACAAUAGACAUUGGAUGCAUUGGUUCAUGCUGUAGCCGCUGUAAUCAGGAAGCUGUGGGAGGAAGAACCCAAGUAGGAAGCCAAUCUGGAUACAUAGGGAUAGCCUGUCUAAGAAAACUAAAAAACUGUAUUCUGAAUACAACCCAAUGGCUUAAAGUAUCACUUAUAAGGAAACUGUAAACUUGCAAAACACUUAGAUUAUUUUUCUAAGGUUCCAAAGUAAGUGUAAUCGGUAAAGUUAAAAACUGUGGAGACAAUUAAGAGCAUGUAUGAGUCAGAUACUGGAAGCCUAGAAAGGAUCAAAAUUUAGAUCAAACAUGGGUUCUACUAAGGAUAUGCCCCCUAGCACUGUUUGGUCAAAGACCCACUAAUAUAUCCACCAAUAAUAAAGAGAACCUGUUCAAGUGUGUGUGUGCUGGAAUGACGCUCUUUGCUUUUCCAUUUUUUCCUGUCCAUUUGCCAGUACCAUUCCUUCUUAGUAUUUGUCGUGGUGGAAUGAUGUUCUGAGGACGUCUGAGGUUGGUACUAUGAGAGUUAUUUGUAAUGCUCAACUUGACACAGUGAAGGGAGGGUCAAUGUGGAAACUUCUGGGCUAGGAUGGCCUAUCAGGGGUGUUUGUGGGCAACUGUCAUGGUUACCUGCACAUGUGGGAAGAUCCGUGUGCAGCAUCUAUCUGUGACUUUGGAUCCUGAACUGUUGAGUGAUCAGAAAGUAGCUCAUUGAUUUCUGCUCCCAUUACUGCGUCUUCUCAGCUAUGUUGAACUGUGACCAGGAAUUGUGAGCCAAAAUAAAAAUUGCUUUUUAGGGUUCUUUAUCACAGCAACAAGAAAUAAAACUAAUCUAGAAACUGAACUUUAAGAAUUUAUUUAAACUCCACCUAGCCCAGAAGUUUCCACAUGGAUCCCAGCAGCCAGGAAAUGGAAGGAAAAAAUAUUCAUUCAUGGGGAGACAAUUAUACUUUCUUGAGCCACUGUACUUUCCGGAGUUAUGUCAUUUUACUGAAAUGGAGCCUUAUAAAUGGCAUAGCCCUGGUGUUUAAAAAUAAUGUAAUAUUCUUUGCAGCAUUCUUACAGAAUGAAUGAAGCACAGAUCCUGCUCAUUCUUCCUGUGUCCACUAUCCACACCAAAAGAAGAUCUACCCAAGUCGAAACCAUCACUCCAUCUGUUACUAUCACUCUUUGGAGUUCAGGACCCCAUCUGCUCCCAAGAGAGCAUGGUUGAAGGUCAGGGGUGGAGUCAGGAACAUUGGUUAGCAUGUUCAGCCCGAGUAGCUGCUGAGUCAGCAUCCAUUACAUCAUUUCUGCUCAUUCCCCAGGCCCUUCUCCAGGUCAUGCUGGACUCCUCCCUGCCAUGUGUCCUGCUCUUGGUGUCACCCUGUUCUUUGGCCCCAGUCUCCUCCUGCCGUCCUCAGAUGGAGGCAGACUCCAUGGAUGCCUGUCUUCUGUAUCUGGUAAACAGACACAGGAAAAUUGCUAGUUCAAAGUCAGCUAGAGCCACAAGGUCCCACUUCACAUUCUGAGUAACUGUCCCAGCUUCUGGAGAGCAAACAGAACAUGCUAAGGACCGUGACAUGGGAAGGUCAGUAGAGACAUCUAUUCUCCCAGUGAUGCUCAUACGGAAACAAUGUGUGACUGAAGUCAAAUGGAAAUACAAAAGCGUAUUUAUUCCUGGUCUAUGCAGUUCCUUGGACACCUGAUACCUCUCUCCUGCUAACAAGAGUUUCAACAAUGUUCACACACACAGAUGCCCCCAACUGGAGACAUAUCUAUAAAAAAAAUCUAUGAUGAAUUUUACUUGGAGCUAUAACAGCAAAAGUUCAAACAAUAUGCAUUCUUGAAAAACAGAAGAGUAAAAAAUAAAAGAUUACUGUAAUAUCCCAAA